rnacentral:rRNA from 1 species
AUGCAAGUCGAGCGAGACCUUCGGGUCUAGCGGCGGACGGGUUAGUAACGCGUGGGAACGUACCCUUCUCUACGGAAUAGCCUUUGGAAACGAAGAGUAAUACCGUAUACGCCCUUCGGGGGAAAGAUUUAUCGGAGAAGGAUCGGCCCGCGUUAGAUUAGAUAGUUGGUGGGGUAAUGGCCUACCAAGUCUACGAUCUAUAGCUGGUUUUAGAGGAUGAUCAGCAACACUGGGACUGAGACACGGCCCAGACUCCUACGGGAGGCAGCAGUGGGGAAUCUUAGACAAUGGGCGCAAGCCUGAUCUAGCCAUGCCGCGUGAGUGAAGAAGGCCUUAGGGUCGUAAAGCUCUUUCGCCAGGGAUGAUAAUGACAGUACCUGGUAAAGAAACCCCGGCUAACUCCGUGCCAGCAGCCGCGGUAAUACGGAGGGGGUUAGCGUUGUUCGGAAUUACUGGGCGUAAAGCGCACGUAGGCGGAUUAGAAAGUUAGAGGUGAAAUCCCAGGGCUCAACCCUGGAACUGCCUUUAAAACUCCUAGUCUUGAGUUCGAGAGAGGUGAGUGGAAUUCCAAGUGUAGAGGUGAAAUUCGUAGAUAUUUGGAGGAACACCAGUGGCGAAGGCGGCUCACUGGCUCGAUACUGACGCUGAGG